rnacentral:rRNA from 1 species
UCUUGGUCAUUUAGAGGAAGUAAAAAGUCGUAACAAGGUUUCCGUAGGUGAACCUGCGGAAGGAUCAUUACACUUGAGGAGUCCCUAAAAAGACUUCUAGUAAGGAGGUUUGUUAGUCUGUAUGGCCCCAAAAGGGCCGAUGAGCAGCGUGCCUCUUUUGUCUACCCUUGUCUUUUGCGUACCCACGUUUCCUCGGCAGGCUUGCCUGUCGAUUGGACAUUUACAUAACCUUUUUAAUCUUCAAUCAGCGUCUGAAAAACCUAAUAAUUACAACUUUCAACAACGGAUCUCUUGGUUCUGGCAUCGAUGAAGAACGCAGCGAAAUGCGAUAAGUAGUGUGAAUUGCAGAAUUCAGUGAAUCAUCGAAUCUUUGAACGCACAUUGCGCCCCUUGGUAUUCCAUGGGGCAUGCCUGUUCGAGCGUCAUUUGUACCUUCAAGCUUUGCUUGGUGUUGGGUGUUUGUCUACUCCUUGGUGUUUAGACUCGCCUUAAAACAAUUGGCAGCCAGUGUUUUGGUAUUGAAGCGCAGCACAAGUAGCGUAACAAUCUAAUAAUACUAGCAUCCACAAGCCUUUUUUCACGCUUGACCUCGGAUCAGGUAGGGAUACCCGCUGAACUUAAGCAUAUCAAUAAGCGGAGGA